ensembl:snoRNA SNORA72 Small nucleolar RNA SNORA72
CCAUGGAUAUUCUCACCAUUCUAGUUUCACAAUAAUCGGGGGUGGACUAAACACUCACUACAGUAAAGCCAUGCAUGUGUCCCAGAUUUAUUUCUUUUCCUAGUUCAGGUUUUAUAAAUGUUGGUAGCAAAC